rfam:Musca domestica strain aabys unplaced genomic scaffold Scaffold19000, whole genome shotgun sequence.
UAGUAUUUCGUCCAUAACUAAAACCAUUGAGUUCUUCCUAGUGAAUUCCUUGGUAUUCGAUUGGACUACAAAAAACUCCAUGAUUGACUAUUCCUCUUAAGGAUAUCGGCUCAAAGAUAUAAACCUUAAUAAAGUGAAAAUCAACAGCACCUAUAA